rnacentral:lncRNA from 1 species
AACUUAAAUAUAUAUUUAAUGUAUGUUAUGAGCAUGGUUAUGAUAAGCAAUUUUUAAAAGUUAAAAGGACAUUACAAGGUGAGAAUAUCAACAAAAGCAAUAGUAACAUAAGAAGUAUGGAUUACUUACCAGUCCCAUAUACUAUAAAAAACCUGAGUUUUACAAGAGAAGUAGCAAGGAAGACUGGAAAAAGAUUAACAACACGCAGGGUGCCAACAAUUUUUAAUAAACUGCAUAACGAAAAAGACCCGCUUGAACAUCAUGAAAGACUGGGAGUGUAUAAAAUACCCAUUAAAUACAAUAAUACACAACAGCAGGCAGCC